rnacentral:tRNA from 1 species
CAGCAUAUAGUUUAAGUAAAAAUAUAAUGUUUGGGUCAUUAAGAUUAGUUGCUGA